CAACUACUGCUGGGCAUGAAGCCUGUUCUAACGUGUUGUUAAUCAAUCCAUUGAGAAUCAACUGGGAAAAAAGUAAAAUUUCCUUCCCCAGUGAAUGUUGAUUGGAGGUAGCUUCUUUGUUAGGAACAGGAGCUCAUGUCCACUUCCCCCUCUCAGGGCUGGGACCCCAUCUCACGUAAGCCUGUGUAGGUCCUGUGCAUGCUGCCACUGUCUCUGAGUUACAUGAAUAUCAGUCCUGCUGUGUCUGGAAGACUCUGUUUCCUUGGAGUCACCCAUCCCCUCUGGCUCUCACAAUCUUUCCGCCUCCUUAUUCCCUGAGCUCUGAGGGGAGGGGCUUGAUGAAGACAUCCCAUUUAAUUGCAACGUCUCUUACUCUCCGCUCAUUGUCCAGUGUGGACCUCGAUUAGCAAGAAGCAGCUUCUCUGAUGAUGGCUGAGAGAAUCACUGAUCUGUGGCAGAAUGUUUUUAGGAGGAAUUUCAUUGUCAUGUUCCUUUAGCAGCAUCUGGUUUCCCCCUAAGCCCAUGGCCUGGCCAGGCUCGGAUUCCUGACCACCUGAGCAGUGUCAGGCAUGGGUUCCAUCUUAAGACGCGGGCCUUAAGCCCAACGGGAGAACGAAUCACCAAGAACAAAUGUAUGGCUUACAGUUGACAGGCAUCUUUGAUUCGACUACCCCAAGAGAGAGCAGGCCAUAGUAACACAAGAGCUCACUCUGGGAGAAGAGACCUGGCCCUGAACUUCAGGAACACAGCAGCAUCCUAGGACUCACUGUUCAGGCAAGGAAGUCAUCCCACAGAGAGAAGGGGGGAAAUCCAUCCAACAAGCCCCAGUCCCUUCUCCACCCAUCACCGGGACCCCAGCUGAGGAGCUGCAGACUGCGUUGACCCUCUGGUGGACAUGUUUAGAAGUGCAGCCUGCUUUCCACAUGAAAAUCUUAAGGCCGAAUGUGUGGUUUGAAGUCAUCUCCAGCCCUUGUUUUUCAUUUGGCACAGGUCCUUGGUUUUGCAGAUAUCACACGGUUAGUAAUAAGCCUUUGUGGUCAGGACAAGAUCUCCAUGCCUGUGUUCAAAGGAAGUUAUCCAGCCUCUCUGAGUGUCAGUUUUCUCAACCCAGGCAGCAUCAGUUCACACAGAGUUCAUACAAGGAUCCACAAGGUGGCAUUUGUCAAAACUAUUUCCUGAGUCAAGGCACACAGCAGACAGGGCUUGUAUAGAGAACAUUCCCUAUCAUUCAGAUUAGUAGGAAUAGGACCUCAUGCUGCCAAUUUACAAAACAUUACAUAGUCCAGAAAUAAACGUAUUUUUCUGAUGUGCAGAAAGUA